rnacentral:rRNA from 1 species
AACGAACGCUGGCGGCGUGCCUAACACAUGCAAGUCGAACGAGAAAGGGGCUUCGGCUCCGAGUAAAGUGGCGCACGGGUGAGUAACACGUGGGUAACCUGCCUCUAAGAUUGGGAUAACUCGUCGAAAGAUGAGCUAAUACCGAAUAAGACCACAGUUCCUGCGGGAACAGGGGUCAAAGGUAGCCUCUGCUUGCAAGCUAUCACUUAGAGAUGGGCCUGCGCACCAUUAGCUAGUUGGUAGGGUAACGGCCUACCAAGGCAAAGAUGGUUAGCUGGUCUGAGAGGAUGAUCAGCCACACUGGAACUGAGACACGGUCCAGACUCCUACGGGAGGCAGCAGUGGGGAAUAUUGCGCAAUGGGCGAAAGCUUGACGCAGCAACGCCGCGUGAGUGAUGAAGGCCUUCGGGUCGUAAAGCUCUGUCGGGAGGAACGAAUGCUCCUGAGGUUAACAGCCUCAGGAGGUGACGGUACCUUCAAAGGAAGCACCGGCUAACUCUGUGCCAGCCGCCGCAGUAAGAC